UUUCUGCGUCAGAUGGACAGUUACACUGGCUGCCUUUGGAUGCUCUACAGUUUGCAACUAUGGGAAGGAUCUGCAUCCAAUCUGUAGAUGAAUUGGGGAAAAGAAAUAUGCCAGUAAGAAGCAGAAGAAAAGAGAAGGAUAAAGCAGAAGGGAUAGAAUUGAGAUCAGAAGACAGAGGAAGACAUUUCCCUGGGACACUCUCAGGAUGAUCACGCAGCUCUAUAUUGCGGAAUAAUCGAAGCUCCCAAAGGCAUCGGCGAUCUCUUUUCUUAUUGCCAAGGAACCCUCGGAGGGAGGUGUUAGAAGUAGAUGUUCAUAACAGGGUCCAUCGUCGGAAAGUCCAACAUCCUCCGCAUCUCGAAGAUCACGAUGCCCAGAGACCACCAAUCUGCAGAUCUUGAAUACGGCAGCCUGGAGAGGACUUCGGGAGCCAUGUAGUCAUAGGUUCCAGUCAGGCUGCGUGUUCUGUCCCCAUAGCCAAUUCCUGCAAAAACAGUAACUGUAAGUAAACUGGAAACCAGUGGGGCUUAUUUAUCAGUAGCGGCUCAGACUCAAAGUACAAGAAAGGAACAGUUCAGUUUGUUUUCUUUUCAUCCUGAGCUGCAUGAUCAGCAAACAAACUGAACAGUUAGGUCCCAUGUGGCCCCCCUUUCUAACUGACUAACAGGUUAGAGAGAUGCAAAAAUAUAAGGUUUUUAUUACAUUAGACGUCUUUCUAUAGAUUACAUUCUAGGGUAACUCCGAUCUAUGUUCUCACUAAAUAUUAAGUGAUACAAAUCAAUUGCCUAACAAUUGGCACCCUCUAGUAAUUCACCUUUCCUUCUCCUUUAAUCUGAUCUGCUAAAGCAUAACUCUUUAGGUGAAUUUCACUCUUGCGUUCUCAUAAUAUGAAACUACAAAUGUCAGUCACUUAGUGAGUCUCAAAAACAUAACACGAAGCGCAACCCUUUUUUGACAUGUAAGUUUAUGAGAAACCUUACCGUCUUUGCAUAGUCCGAAAUCAGCCAGUUUGAUGUACCCGUUGCUGUCUAAGAGCAGGUUUUCCGGCUUGAGAUCUCUGUUAAUACAACGGCAAAUGUUAGAAAAGUACAAGUUCACUGGCACACAAAAGGGGAAAUAAUUAGUGAUUAUAUAGUGAAUAACAACCUUUUUUAAACUUUAAGUCACUGAGGAGAUUCUUGACCAUAUAAAGGCACAAGGCUGAAGUUGUCAUGCUCUUGUGGAGCAAGCUCUAUAGGGGACAUUAAUCGUGGCUUCUUAAAAGUUUAGCAGUAAUAUUCUCUUAUAUUUUAUAUUGCAAAUGUUUUCAUAUACUUAAAAAAAGUAUUGAUAUAUAUCUAUACUUACCGGUGUAUGAUACCAUUUUCGUGCAAAUAGGAGAUGGCCAGCACUGUGCACGCAGCAUAGAACCUGCAAAGAGAAAAUGACUCCCAUCAGUAGGUUAUUGAAUACAUAGCCAUUUAUUUGUUAGUGUAGCACAGGGUGGUGAUAUCUCAGUCUAAAUAUUACAGGCUCGCUGUGAUUUAAGAGACCCACUGACUAUAAUGGUAAGUUGUGUAUGCAGCUCCGAACUUAUUAAAAAUUUCUUAUGUAUUUCUAAAUAAAGCCUCUUGCAUUUGUGUAAUAUGGCUGCUUCCUUCGAUAAACAAGGAGCCAGAUCCAUAUGCUAUUUAUGGUUUUCAAACUUGUGUAGUUUUCCUCAGCACGUCCCUUGAGUUCCUUAUCCUGUGGGCUCACCCUCUCAGGUCACACAGUAAAGGCCAGAAAUUGAUCAAU